GUGAUUUCAGGACUUGGCAACAGCCUUACUCGCCGUGCUAGGUAACGAGAAAGCCAGCAGAGAGAUAAUCAACAUCUCAGGAGAGAAGUAUGUCACCUUUGAUGGGUUAGCAAGAGCUUGCGCAAAGGCUGGUGGGUUUCCAGAGCCAGAGAUUGUUCACUACAACCCGAAAGAGUUUGACUUUGGGAAGACGAAGGCGUUCCCUUUCCGUGACCAGCAUUUCUUUGCAUCGGUGUAGAAAGCAAAGCAUGCCCUGGGAUGGAAACCAGAGUUCGACCUAGUGGAGGGUCUCACUGACUCGUACAACCUUGAUUUUGGUCGUGGAACUUUCCGGAAAGAAGCGGAUUUCACUACUGAUGACAUGAUUUUAAGCAAGAAACUUGUAACUCAGUCCUAAGAACUACUCACAUAGAUAGAAACAUUCUUGGCUUGUACGGUUUCUCAAGUUUAAUGUUGUCUCAAGUGUGUUUUGGUUCGGAUUUUAUCUGAAUUUUCUAAAAAGAGGCGGUAACGGAACAAGUCUGAACUAAAAUAACCAAAUUUACUGACUAAACCAAAACCAAUUUGGUAUCACCUUUCUAAACCUGAAUCUAACCGAAAUUUCAAAAAUCAUAGCA